UAGAUUCUGUUGCAGGGCUCAAGCAUGACACAGGGUUGGCCGCUGAGUGGUCCUCUGAUGAACAAUAUAUAUUGGAGGAUGGCCUUGAAAAAUAUAAAGAGGCGCCGAAUAUUUUGAAGUACAUAAGAUUGCAGCUACUUUGAGUGAUAAACCGUACGUGAUGUUGCUUUGAGGUGUCGGUGGAUGCAAAGAAAGCGGAGGAAGCCUGAAGAACAUAAUUCAGGAAAAAAAAGUGAACAGUAGAAAG